AUUGAACGCUGGCGGUAGGCCUAACACAUGCAAGUCGAACGAGUGGCGGACGGGUGAGUAAUGUCUGGGAAACUGCCUGAUGGAGGGGGAUAACUACUGGAAACGGUAGCUAAUACCGCAUACCAUCGGAUGUGCCCAGAUGGGAUUAGCUAGUAGGUGGGGUAAAGUCUCACCUAGGCGACUAUCCCUAGCUGGUCUGAGAGGAUGACCCGCCAAACUGGACCUGAGACACGGUCCAGACUCCGACGGUAGGCAUCAGUGUGGAAUAUUGUACAAUUGGCUCAAGCCUUAUACAGCCAUGCCGCGUGGAUGAAGAAGGCCUUCGGGUUUUAAAGUACUUUCAGCGGGGAGGCGUUACCCGCAGAAGAAGCACCGGCUAACUCCGUGCCAGCAGCCGCGGUAAUAC
rnacentral:rRNA from 1 species